UGGGGAAUAUUGGACAAUGGGGGGAACCCUGAUCCAGCCAUGCCGCGUGUGUGAAGAAGGCCUUAUGGUUGUAAAGCACUUUAAGCGAGGAGGAGGGUACUGGUAUUAAUACUACCAGCUACUGGACGUUACUCGCAGAAUAAGCACCGGCUAACUCUGUGCCAGCAGCCGCGGUAAUACAUAGGGUGCGAGCGUUAAUCGGAUUUACUGGGCGUAAAGCGUGCGUAGGCGGCUAAUUGAGUCGGAUGUGAAAUCCCCGAGCUUAACUUGGGAAUUGCAUUCGAUACUGGUUAGCUAGAGUGUGGGAGAGGAUGGUAGAAUUCCAGGUGUAGCGGUGAAAUGCGUAGAGAUCUGGAGGAAUACCGAUGGCGAAGGCAGCCAUCUGGCCUAACACUGACGCUGAGGUACGAAAGCAUGGGGAGCAAACAGG
rnacentral:rRNA from 1 species